rnacentral:tRNA from 1 species
GGUUGUAGCUCAGUGGUAGAGUGCUUGCCUAGAAUGUGUGAGGCUCUGGGUUUGAGUCUCAGCACCA